UCUCCGAAUGCCNCUAGAUUAGAGUUUGAUCAUGGCUCAGAUCUGAACGCUGGCGGCAGGCCUAACACAUGCAAGUCGAGCGGAUGACGGGAGCUUGCUCCUUGAUUCAGCUGGCGGACGGGUGAGUAAUGCCUAGGAAUCUGCCUGGUAGUGGGGGACAACGUUUCGAAAGGAACGCUAAUACCGCAUACGUCCUACGGGAGAAAGCAGGGGACCUUCGGGCCUUGCGCUAUCAGAUGAGCCUAGGUCGGAUUAGCUAGUUGGUGGGGUAAUGGCUCACCAAGGCGACGAUCCGUAACUGGUCUGAGAGGAUGAUCAGUCACACUGGAACUGAGACACGGUCCAGACUCCUACGGGAGGCAGCAGUGGGGAAUAUUGGACAAUGGGCGAAAGCCUGAUCCAGCCAUGCCGCGUGUGUGAAGAAGGUCUUCGGAUUGUAAAGCACUUUAAGUUGGGAGGAAGGGCAGUAAGUUAAUACCUUGCUGUUUUGACGUUACCGACAGAAUCAAGCACCGGCUAACUCUGUGCCAGCAGCCGCGGUAAUACAGAGGGUGCAAGCGUUAAUCGGAAUUACUGGGCGUAAAGCGCGCGUAGGUGGUUAGUUAAGUAUGGAUGUGAAAGCCCCAGGGNCUCAACCUGGGAACUGCAUCCAAAACUGGCAAAGCUAGAGUACGGUANAGAGGGUNGGUGGAAUUCCUGUGUAGCGGUGAACA
rnacentral:rRNA from 1 species